CCUACGGGAGGCAGCAGUGAGGAAUAUUGGUCAAUGGGCGAGAGCCUGAACCAGCCAAGUCGCGUGAGGGAGUACUGCCCUAUGGGUUGUACACCUCUUUUGUCGGGGCGCAAAAGCCGGACGUGUCCGGCUGUGAGAGUACCCGAAGAAAAAGCCUCGGCUAACUCCGUGCCAGCAGCCGCGGUAAUACGGAGGAUGCGAGCGUUAUCCGGAUUUAUGGGGUUUAAAGGGUGCGCAGGCGGAUUUUAAAGUCAGCGGUAAAAUCGUGGGGCUCAACCCCAUCCAGCCGUUGAAACUGGUGAGCUAGAGUGUGCGAGAGGUAUGCGGAAUGCGUGGUGUAGCGGUGAAAUGCAGAGAUAUCACGCAGAACCCCGAUGGCGAAGGCAGCAUACCGGUGCACAACUGACGCUCAGGCACGAAAGCGUGGGUAUCGAACAGGAUUAGAUACCCCAGUAGUC
rnacentral:rRNA from 1 species